GUGAGGAAUUUUCCGCAAUGGGCGAAAGCCUGACGGAGCAAUGCCGCGUGAAGGAUGAAGGCCUAUGGGUUGUAAACUUCUUUUCUCAGAAAAGAAUUAUGACGGUAUCUGAGGAAUAAGCAUCGGCUAACUCUGUGCCAGCAGCCGCGGUAAGACAGAGGAUGCAAGCGUUAUCCGGAAUGAUUGGGCGUAAAGCGUCUGUAGGUUGUUUAAAAAGUAUUCUGUCAAAGAUUAGGGCUUAACCCUAGAUAGGCAGAAUAAACUUUUAAGCUAGAGUUUGGUAGAGGCAGAGGGAAUUCCCGGUGGAGCGGUGAAAUGCGUAGAUAUCGGGAGGAACACCAAAGGCGAAGGCACUCUGCUGGGCCAAUACUAACACUGAGAGACGAAAGCGAGGAGAGCAAAUGGGAUUAGAUACCCGGGUAGUCC
rnacentral:rRNA from 1 species